CCCGUCCCUCCGGCCCGCCGCCCCUCGGGACGCGGCCACGCAGCCGCGGCCCGGCGGGCGGAGGACACAUCCCGGCGCGGCGCGCGCCAAGGAACGAUCGUCGGAACAGGGCUCCGCUCCCGCCCGCGCGGCGGGGCGGCGCCUCGCUCUACACUCGAAACUGUACGACUCUCGGCAACGGAUAUCUCGGCUCUCGCAUCGAUGAAGAACGUAGCGAAAUGCGAUACUUGGUGUGAAUUGCAGAAUCCCGCGAACCAUCGAGUCUUUGAACGCAAGUUGCGCCCGAGGCCAUCCGGCCGAGGGCACGCCUGCCUGGGCGUCACGCAUCGCGUCGCUCCGCGCCCCACGGGCGUCGGACGCGGAGAUUGGCCCCCCGCGCGCGAGCGCGGCGGGCCUAAGCGCGGGCCGCCGGCGGGGACGGGCACGGCGAGUGGUGGACGGAAGCGCGGACUCCGCGCACGCGAGCCGGACGCCGUGGCCCCGAGCCCCAGCGGCACAAGGCCCUUCGGAACCCCACAGGGCGCGCGAGCCCUCCCCCGGGACGGGCGAGCCGCCUCGCACCGCGACCCCAGGUCAGGCGGGGCCACCCGCUGAGUUUAAGCAUAUCAAUAAGCGGAGGAGAAGAAACUUACGAGGAUUCCCC
rnacentral:rRNA from 1 species